CCCUUAGAUGUCCUGGGCCGCACGCGCGCUACACUGAUGCAUGCAACGAGUUUAUAACCUUGGCCUGAAAGGUCUGGGUAAUCUUUUGAACGUGCAUCGUGAUAGGGAUAGAUUAUUGCAAUUGUUAAUCUUGAACGAGGAAUUCCUAGUAAACGCGAGUCAUCAGCUCGCAUUGACUACGUCCCUGCCCUUUGUACACACCGCCCGUCGCACCUACCGAUUGAAUGGUUCGGUGAAGAUCUCGGACUUCGAUAUUUAUUCUUUAUUGAGUUUAUAUUGUGGGAAGUUAUCUAAACCUCAUCAUUUAGAGGAAGGUGAAGUCGUAACA
rnacentral:rRNA from 1 species